rnacentral:lncRNA from 1 species
CGGUUGUCAAGCUAUUUUUAUCUUCUAACUUUUAAAUAUUAAUGAAAAUAAUUUUCAUACACUCUGUUUUUCUUGUCAUGCUGAUUUGGUGGUAGUAAAUUGUAGCUUAUUUUUGGGCACUUGAGUAGCCUGAGCUUUGAUUAUGCUGUCUUGGCAACUCUUCAUUCAUUUGGGCCAUUGUGUCAGAAGCCGAGGCAAGAAUUGCCUUC